UAAAGAGUGGAAUAUGGUUGUAACAUUUUUUGUAGGCCCGAUUACUGAAAGUAGAUGGACGUAUGCUGUCUUUUGUGUUUGUCCGUCCAAUAUUUGGUUAGCGAUUUAUCAGGUAGGUAUGGUAUCAACAACUUCGGGACAAUGGUUCAUUUUUCAUAUUACAUUGCAGAUUACAGUUUUAUGCCAACCGGAAAGUUCAAAUCAUAUGACAAUAGUAAAACUGAAAGACAUCAAACAAAUGUAUAACAACUUCCAUAUUCUUGUCACGAUACAGGCAUAUUCUGAUGAAGAAAAUGAUGGCUUAUACUGAUUUUAGAGCUAGCUGAAUCUCUCACUUGUACGACAGUCGCGUAUAAUUCCAUUAUAUUAACAAAAACGAUUCUUUAAAAGCUAAAUGUAAUAAUUAAAACAACUUCAAACUCGUCGUCAUAUAUAUUAUUUACCUAAAUUCCAAUAUUCUGUUGUUAUUUGAUUCUUAAUUCUAUUUCUUUAUAAUCACUAUCCGGAUUAGUGAUUAACAAUGGCAAUUAGUGUAAGAAAUAUUCCUUUGAAUGUUCAAUAUAAUAACGAACAGAACACAUCAUCGAUGUUACCCUUUGAUAUGUAUGCUCUUUAAUAUCAUCAAUUCUUUAUUCAGAGUCAUUAAACAUUCAUGUACUGAUUACGAUAAAAAUCCUUAAGCCUCGGUCACACCUUAACGGAUAGCUCGAACGGAUGCCUAACGGAUAACCUUUUUUCAAUCCGUUCAUGUCCGUUAGACUACCGUCUUAUCCGUUAGACGUCCUUCCAUAUCUGUUGCAUGUCUGUUUAGCAUACGUUUUAUCCGUCGACGUCCGUUCUGUCCGGUGGAAUUUUUUUAGCAUGUUCAAAACUUCGAACGUACGUCCAACGGAUAAUAUGUCCGUUGAACGUCAGGUAUGCGUCCGUUUUGUACAGAACGCGUCCGUUUCGUUUCCGUUUUGUAUCCUUUACGUGUCCGUUAAAUAUCCGUCGGAGAUCUGAAAGUUAAGAUCACCAACAGACUUUUACCGGACGUUUUAAGGAUAAAACGGAUGUUGAACGAAUGAGAAACGGACUUAUAACGAACGUAUAACGGAUAAAACGGAUGCUGAACGGAUCUGAAACGAAUAAAUGCCAAUUAAAAAUUUCGAGUCAGAAAUGCCAAUUAUCGGUAUUUCAGAUUUCUUAACUUUCCUGAAUUCUUAUUAUUCAUAAUCGAUUUUAGAGUAAGGACACGUCUUCAUAAUCAAGCAGCUCUUAUUCAGACCUGACACUGCCCUUUGGGGACAUUUUGAAGAACAAACUAAACCAGUUACACAGAAACAUUUUGAAUAUUUAUGCGAUUUACAUGUAUUAUUAUUGUCGCCUUUAAUUUUUCCGUAUAUCUUGUUUAUACGUUUUAUCCGGUACGCUUCCGUUAGGUGUCAAUUUUGUGUGGUACCCGUCCGUUUGAUGAACGUUAGACAUCCGUUCUGUCCUGUACGUUUCCGUUUCUCGUACGUUACAUAUCCGGUGUUUGUACGUUGUGCAUUCGAUACACUUCAUUUUUAUUCGCUCAGUACAGGAACGGUCUCCCAACAGAUAAACAUUUUGUCAACGGACAACUAUUAUUUUUAUCCGUUAGUCGUCCGUUCGUGUUAUUCGGUAAGAUGUGACCGAGGCUGAAAAUAAAUAUUUUGUAUUUGCUGAUGAAGCCACCGGGUGCCGGAGCUUCUCACUGCAUUGACUACCAAUUGGUGGCCUUCGGCUCUUGUCUGCUCUUUGGUCGGGUUGUUGUCUCUUUGACACAUUCCCUAUUUAGUUUCUCAAUUUUAAUUUUAUAAUAUAUUUAAAAUGCGUUUGCAUUUGAAGUCGUCCUUAACAUAAAUACAUAUUGCAUUUAUAUAAAGGGACUAUAUACAAUUAGUGUAUUUCAAUGACGAAAUUUGCAUCAUUUUAUCUUACACCUUGCUGCGGACCCUAAAUAAAACCCAGUAACACAGAACUUCUGUCUUAAGGGUGUCAUUUGACAAAUUAUGUUAUGAGAAUAAAGACAUAAAAAUCAUCAAGAUACAUAACAGUUUUUAAAGGUCAUAAUAAAAAUACACUUUUUAUAUCCCCCCAUUGUGUUGCAUACAUCAUGUACAUAUUCCUCGUAUUUGUCCGACACCAAUGCCCAUAACAACCAAAUAGAGUCAUCCACAAAAAGUCUCAUAUUUAGAAUGGGAACGUUAUAGGAUCAAACGAUAAAUCACAAGCAGAAACUGUCGAAUAUUUAUACAUGAGUUUUCACCAAAACAUAUUAUACUGAUUUACAUGUAUUUGAUUGCAUCUGUAUUUCUCUUAUCCGAUAAAAGAAACAUUUGAUUGCCUUCAGAAUCCCUUACUAUUUGAAUUUAAGAAAAAAGUGUAUUCCAACAAAAGUAUGUUAUGACACAUUUCAGUAUAGAGUACGUUGCAUGUAUUGUAAAGCAUAAUAUAGUAGGGAAAAAAAUGAUAACAAGCAGGCUUUGUAGAGUAAUUUUUGUUUUUUUUAUGACCUCGGUUUCUCCUAGACAUUGGCUUUUUUUCCAGACAACAAAAACGCCUUGAAUGACAAAACUUUACUAUAAAUAAAUAUUAAUAUCCUUUCUUUAUCCUGUUUAUUGUAGACGCGUUUCCGCAGUACAACUUGCACUUAAGUUACUCUAAAGUACUUUUAACAAUUGUAAAUAAACAUCACGUAGUGCAAUGCAAGAUUUUAGGUAUCGACCGAUUGUAGGGCCGUAGAUGCGCUUAUGUGUAUAAUAUAAAUAUUUGAAGGCUAAAAUCUACUGAUGAUGAAAUAUAAAAGCACACCGAUAAAAAACAAUGUGCACAUAUUUUAUUAUAAUUUUGAAUUUAAUUUAGUAACUUUUAGAAUAAGUUUAUUUAUAGAAUCAAUACAUUUACACUCAUCGAUUCUUAAUUUACUGACUUGAUAACAACAUCACAGUAAAAAUAAGAAUAUGUUGUUCUGUUUUCUUCAGGUACAGACAAACUUCUAAACCAUUUCGUUGGAUGUAUUAAAGAACUUUUGUAAAAAUUAACAGCUUAAUCACCACAUUACGCUUCCCGUAUGCAUACCUGGCAUUUUCAAUUUUCAAGUAGAGAAGAAGGCUUUAUAUAAAUUGCAGCAAAUAAAUUCGCAACCAGAUAUUUCAAAUAACAAUUAAAUUUAACAGAAGAACAUUUGUUUGAAAGAUUGUGUGAUGUUUUGUAGACCAUGGCCAAAAGACACAAAAUUAACAACUUCACACGUAACAUUAACAAUUAGAAGGACGUUUGUGUGAUAGGAUUGUGUGAUGUUUUGUAGACCAUGGCCAAAAGACACAAAAUUAACAACUUCACACGUAACAUUAACAAUAACAUGUUAGUCAUUAAUAAUGACAUGUUACACAGUAAUAAUAUAAAAGAUCAAAAACUUAAAGCCUUUUUUAGACUUCAGUACCCCAUUGACUUUAUUAACUUCGAUAUGAAAUUAUUGAAGAAAAUAGAAAACAAACUUAAUUGAAAAUUAUCGAACUGUCUUGGAUUAAACGACUUCAAACAGCUUAUUCCCUGGGUCUAAAUGACAAUAUACUUGGACAAGGGAACAUAUCUACUACUUCUUCUAUUGAUAACAUGAAUAUUAUGGAUAAAAAACAACGAAAUAAAAGGUCUCAUGGGAAACGUAUCAAUCGGAAUCAACAAGUUAAACAUCGUAUAAAUUAUACACUUGAUAAUCUCCUAUCUAUAUUUAGAAAUAAUGGUAGGCAUCAAUUAUUAUGUAAACUGGGUCAAAUACCCAUUAGUAAAUUACACGAUAUUUUCAAAGAGUGUGACACCAUCUCAUUCUUCAGCCCACUUUAUGAAUAUUCUCGUAUAAUAACAGAUUUUUGCCACCAUAGGCUGUUCCCGCGUAUCGACAAACAUGGAGAUUAUAAACGUCAUUUUUUGAAAAUUAAAUAUAUUAGCAGAGGCAUCGAUUUUAUCAUCUUAUCUAGUAUAUCUAAUGACUCUACCGUUCAAAACUUUAUACCUCCCUAUUUUGAUAAUAUAUAACCACCUAUAAUUUCGUACAAUACAAAAAAACAGCAGAAGUUUAAUUUUUAAUUAUACGUCGGUUACAUCAGACAUGAAUAUAGAUAGUAAUGCUCCCUUUACUUGAAACUGUGAAUCGUCAAAGUUUAGAUAUGUUCCCUAUGGCCAUGUUAUUACAGGGGACCUUAAUAUCGUCCAGGACAGAGAGGUUAAAAACUUUUUGAAAAAAGGACCAAAAUAUCGUCCUCCAUCUAAAAUAGAUUGGAAAGAGUGUCGUCAAGUCACCGAAGAUGUUCUUUCCUCGUUUUGUAAAAAUUGGUGUAAACGGGAAAAAUCUGAUAAAAAAUCUCUUGAUUCUUAUUUAAAUAAAUGUACAGAAUGAAUGAGGUAGAUAAGAGAAUAUCACAUUUUGAAAAUAGUUUAGAAGUAAAUAAUAGAGUACAUAAUACACCUAUUUCCAGAAUAAGAAAUAAACUUCAAAUACUUUCAAAGCGGUUUGUGUUUGUACCGGCCGACAAAGCAGCCAACAAUGUGGUGGUGGUAUACCGUAAAUACUACACGGACGUUCUUAAGAAUGAAAUUUUAAAUUCAUCUACAUUCAAGUCCAUUCGCUCCACAGAGAGUCAUAUAGUAAACAACAACACCAAAGCUUAAGGCUUCUUCUGAUCAUUUGAAGGUCCCUACGAUGUAUUGGCUACCUAAACUACACAAAGAACCAUUUAAAUAUCGUUUCAUCUCGGCCUCUAGUAAGUGUUCUACAACUAAUCUUUCAGUGGUCUUAACUAGUUCAUUGACUACUAUUAAAGAGCUUAUCAUAAACUGUUGUAAAAAAAUAUAUGAGCAUAGUGGUAUAAACCAUUUUUGGAGUGUAAAAAAAUCUUUGGAUGUUUUAGAUAAAUUACGUGCUGAUGAUGGUCCUUUUGAUUCUGUUAAUAGUUUUGAUUUUUCUACUCUUUACACUACACUUCCACAGUAUCUUAUUGAACAAAAGUUUUCCCAUUUAAUUAAAUGAUCGUUUGGUAAAGUUGAAUGUAGAUAUAUUUGAUGCAACUCAUUUAAAGCCUUCUUCUCUAAUGAGAAAGGUAAAUAAGCUAGAUAUACUUACUGGAGGUGUGAUGAGAUGAUUGAAGCUAUCAAUUUUCUCCUUGAUAACAUUUAUGUACGUUUCGGCAACUAAAAUUCGAUCAAUUCCCGAUUCUACCGAAUGUAAUCCGACAGAUAUCAGACAGUGACCAGACAUUAUACCGACGCUGACGGAAGUUAUUCGUUCGAAAACUGUCGACAAACUCGGGAUAAACAGGUACUGUCGGAACGUAAUCCUAUAAUUGUAUUCUGUAAUUGUUGGGACUCUGACAUGGGUAUCAUUGACGAUGUUCGUAUUAAUAAUGGAAUAUUCCGGAUCGGUUUGGCAAAAACGGUUUGCAAUCGUCAAGAUCUGGAUGCAAUCUGGACUCAACCGGCAGAAAAACAGCAAUGACAAAUUUCUCAAGAUCAUUCCUGUUCCAUAGGAAACCGUCCAGAAUACACAGAACAUUGUUAGGAUUUUGAUCCGAUACAGCAGAAUCUGUCACAACAUAGGCACGAUUGACUCGACUAGACAAAAUCGGCUGCGUUUGCCCGAAUGUUACGGGACGCACUUAGCUGUCGGGGUGCUUCGCCGAACUCUUCCCGACCCGUAGGAAUUUGUUACGAACUCCAACGACUGCGUUCAGACAAUGAUAGGACAUUCCAGAUAAUUGAGGAAAGUAAUUUAACUUGUUCACUUUUCGUGUCGUAUCGCUGUCUGCUUUCCAACGGGAACAAUAAUCGGCAAUGUGUGAACCCCACACUAUUGAUUUGAUCCUACGAUAAAAUAUCGGAUUGAUUGGAAAGAAAGAGAUGCAUACUAUAUUAGCAGACAUGUAUGCAUUCUUAAGCGAAAAUAAAACCAGUUUGUUUAAUAACAUUAAUGGUACCAAUUUACCUGCACCAGAUUUAACUUUCUGUUACGGAGGCUCUUCUAUACGUUUAAAAAUUCUAAACAUAAAGGGAGGUUAUCUAAUAGAACUUCACAAUUUUUGUAAUCGUCACACUUAUCGACUGAACGGCUGGUAUAAUUCAAAACCCUGUGUACCGUUCGGCUUCGCUUAAGGGUAUUUUAUCGCAGUACGUAGAUAACGGAUACCAUCAAACAUUUUAGACAUUUUCAGCUAAUAAUUUUGAAAGUUACCACAAUUAACAAAGAUUCUAACUUCUUCAGACAUAGUUCACUUUAAUAAGUCUUGGCUAUUUAAUGUCAUUUUUCGACAUAUAGCUCUUUUUUUUUAUUUACACAUUUUUUACAGAUUACAUCGCAUUCACAGAAAUAAAGAUCUUUUUAAUAUUUUUGAUCUCCCUGUCCCGGUCUGCAGAUUUUAUUUCGGUGAAAUCUGUAUUACAUUUCAAAUGUAGGAUGAAAUGUGAAAUGAAGGGUAAAAAAUACUACUUGUAAUGCAAAUUGAAUAUAUAAAUACAUAUAUACUAAUCAUAUUCUGAAAAGAACUUUAACAAGAAUACUAACAUGACUAAGAUGUGGUAUGAUUGCCAACAGCCCCACGGGCAUUUUAGUUUUUUUUUUUCUUAUCUAACAUACAACAGCUAGAUUCCAUAACAUUAAGUGAAAUUAGCAGCAAUCAUGUUACAAUAACAAACUGCCAUGUAUACCUCUAACGAAUAUACAUUGUUUUUGUUAUUUAUUUAGGCUGUCCAGCAGAUUGUCAGUCAUAUGACAUGGAUUACUGUCCAAUUUGUGACUAUUCUAUUUGUAGUGGUAAGUAGCUAUACUACAACAACAACAACAUAAUUGAAUACCGUAGUACAAAUUCAUGCAUCCUUGCACGAAAAAAACUUGAAAUUAAAUAUAAUUUCAUGAAUCUGAAAUAGUGUCUGUCACGAACAAAGACUAAAGACUUUGAUUUAAUCCUUUUUUGACUGCUUCCCUGUAUUACUGAAUCAUGUGUAUAUUUAAACUGUUAUACUUUAUGUAUCGGUUUAGUAUAUCAUUAAUGAUACAGAUAAAGUCAUGUAUUCGGUUUAAAAAACGAUUUUGAAGACAACGCCUCUAAAACAAAGAAUCCCCAACAAAUAUGAGGCCUACACAUAUUAAUGUUUGUCCUGCACCAAUGUAUAUAAAUACUUUGACAAUACAUAGACGACUACACAAACGUUGCACAUUUAAACAUACGGAUAAAUAUGCAUUGUAGUGAUGUGAAUGUCUCUAUUGCAAUACCAAAUCAAGUCAAUACACUAAGGGCUGUUCCAAAAUAACAUGUAAUAUGGGGGGGGGAGGUUAAAGGAAAGCAUUUUUUAUUUGACCCCACCAUGCAUAUAUUUUAAAUAGGAUAUUUCAUUUAAAUGUUCACGCAAUCUUACUAUGAAUACCAGACCGAAAUCUGUUAAAUCCGUGUAUACCAGUGAUCCGUUUCAAAUGAAAUGACACACAAAAGAGUGAAAUAAUAUUAUUUUUUAUUAUUUUUUUUUAUUAAAGGCCUAUUUUAAUGAAUACCAUUACGUGCAAAAAACCUUUGACGAAUACACAUGAAAAUUUACCUUUUUAUUUCGUUGUACUUUCUUUCAGCAACCAAACCAUAAUAUAGCGUGGUAGUGCCAUGGUGUACAAGUCACCAGUCUACAAUUCAAAGACGUGAACACAAUAAAAUUUCUGAUGAUGAUGAAUA
rnacentral:lncRNA from 1 species